CUACCUGGUAAUGCUGUUGGACUCACCUGCUCAGAGCCUGAUGAUGUGAGGCUGGUGGGAGGAGGCAGUCGCUGUGCUGGUGGAGUGGAGCGGUACGACCAGGGAGAGUGGAAGACUGUGGGAGCUGAAAACUGGAACCAGGAGGCUAUAGCUGCUGUAGUGUGUAGACAGCUGGGUUGUGGCUCCACUGUUUCAGUACUACCUGGAAACACCACUGGAGUGUAUGGAGUUUCCUGUUCUGGGUCUGAGUCUGCACUGAGGGAGUGUUCCAGAACGUCUGGUCGCCUUUCUGGAUUCACAGUGAUCUGCUCAGUCCUCUAAAACCCCUCCCCAUCCCAAGUUGGGUUGUCAUCCCAGUGACCGGCAGACCACCCCCGUCCCCCCGGAUCCCAGGGCCCCCGAGAGACCGGGACCCAUCCUUUGAAAAGACCCCACAGUGAAACCCACAGAACAGAAGCAGAUCAGCAGACAAAAGCAUUCCAUCACCCUCACAUCGAUUAGCAUUAUUAUAUAGCUAUAAGAAAAUAUAUUU